rnacentral:sRNA from 1 species
AGGCUUAGGCUUAGGCUUAAUCUUAGACUUAUGCUUUGGCUUAAGCUUAGGCU